rnacentral:rRNA from 1 species
GAUGAACGCUGGCGGCGUGCCUAACACAUGCAAGUCGAGCGCGUCUGAUUUGAUGCUUGCAUUGAUGAAAGAUGAGCGGCGGACGGGUGAGUAACGCGUGGGUAACCUGCCCUAUACACAUGGAUAACAUACUGAAAAGUUUACUAAUACAUGAUAAUAUAUAUUUACGGCAUCGUAGAUAUAUCAAAGUGUUAGCGGUAUAGGAUGGACCCGCGUCUGAUUAGCUAGUUGGUGAGAUAACUGCCCACCAAGGCGACGAUCAGUAGCCGACCUGAGAGGGUGAUCGGCCACAUUGGAACUGAGACACGGUCCAAACUCCUACGGGAGGCAGUAGUGGGGAAUAUUGCACAAUGGGCGCAAGCCUGAUGCAGCAACGCCGCGUGAACGAUGAAGGUCUUCGGAUCGUAAAGUUCUGUUGCAGGGGAAGAUAAUGACGGUACCCUGUGAGGAAGCCCCGGCUAACUACGUGCCAGCAGCCGCGGUAAUACGUAGGAGGCUAGCGUUAUCCGGAUUUACUGGGCGUAAAGGGUGCGUAGGUGGUCUUUCAAGUCGGUGGUUAAAGGCUACGGCUCAACCGUAGUUAGCCUCCGAAACUGGAAGACUUGAGUGCAGGAGAGGAAAGUGGAAUUCCCAGUGUAGCGGUGAAAUGCGUAGAUAUUGGGAGGAACACCAGUAGCGAAGGCGGCUUUCUGGACUGCAACUGACACUGAGGCACGAAAGCGUGGGUAGCAAACAGG